CAGCAGUGGGGAAUUUUGCGCAAUGGGGGAAACCCUGACGCAGCAACGCCGCGUGAGUGAUGAAGGCCUUCGGGUCGUAAAGCUCUGUCAAGUGGGAAGAACCUGCUUGCUGCUAAUAUCAGCAGGCACUGACGGUACCACUGGAGGAAGCACCGGCUAACUCCGUG
rnacentral:rRNA from 1 species